rnacentral:rRNA from 1 species
CAGUCGCCACGGUAAUACGAAGGGUGCAAGCGUUACUCUGAAUUACUGGGCGUAAAGCGUGCGUAGGUGGUGGUUUAAGUCCGUUGUGAAAGCCCUGGGCUCAACCUGGGAAUUGCAGUGGAUACUGGGUCACUAGAGUGUGGUAGAGGAUAGUGGAAUUUCCGGUGUAGCAGUGAAAUGCGUAGAGAUCGGAAGGAACAUCUGUGGCGAAGGCGACUAUCUGGGCCAACACUGACACUGAGGCACGAAAGCGUGGGGAGCAAACAGGAUUAGAUACCCGAGUAGUCCCUGUCUCUUAUAC